rnacentral:misc_RNA from 1 species
GAUGAAGAACGUAGCGAAAUGCGAUAAGUAAUGUGAAUUGCAGAAUUCAGUGUAUCAUCGAAUCUUUGAACGCACAUUGAGCCCGCCAGCACUCUGGCGGGCAUGCCUGUCCGAGCGUCAUUUACCACCCUCGGGCCCCCUUGGGGGCCCGGUGCUGGGGGCACGGCCCAGGCCGCCCCCGAAAUGCAGUGGCGACCCCGCCGCGUCCUCCCCUGCGCAGUAGCACAAUCUCGCACCGGAAGCGCGGAGGCGGUCACGCCUGGAAACGCCCCAACUCAACGCAGUUGACCUCGGAUCAGGUAGGAGUACCCGCUGAACUUAAGCAUAUCAAUAAGCGGAGGA